GAUGAACGCUGGCGGCGUGCCUAAUACAUGCAAGUCGAACGAGUUCUCGUUGAUGAUCGGUGCUUGCACCGAGAUUCAACAUGGAACGAGUGGCGGACGGGUGAGUAACACGUGGGUAACCUGCCCUUAAGUGGGGGAUAACAUUUGGAAACAGAUGCUAAUACCGCAUAGAUCCAAGAACCGCAUGGUUCUUGGCUGAAAGAUGGCGUAAGCUAUCGCUUUUGGAUGGACCCGCGGCGUAUUAGCUAGUUGGUGAGGUAAUGGCUCACCAAGGCGAUGAUACGUAGCCGAACUGAGAGGUUGAUCGGCCACAUUGGGACUGAGACACGGCCCAAACUCCUACGGGAGGCAGCAGUAGGGAAUCUUCCACAAUGGACGCAAGUCUGAUGGAGCAACGCCGCGUGAGUGAAGAAGGCUUUCGGGUCGUAAAACUCUGUUGUUGGAGAAGAAUGGUCGGCAGAGUAACUGUUGUCGGCGUGACGGUAUCCAACCAGAAAGCCACGGCUAACUACGUGCCAGCAGCCGCGGUAAUACGUAGGUGGCAAGCGUUAUCCGGAUUUAUUGGGCGUAAAGCGAGCGCAGGCGGUUUUUUAAGUCUGAUGUGAAAGCCCUCGGCUUAACCGAGGAAGCGCAUCGGAAACUGGGAAACUUGAGUGCAGAAGAGGACAGUGGAACUCCAUGUGUAGCGGUGAAAUGCGUAGAUAUAUGGAAGAACACCAGUGGCGAAGGCGGCUGUCUGGUCUGUAACUGACGCUGAGGCUCGAAAGCAUGGGUAGCGAACAGGAUUAGAUACCCUGGUAGUCCAUGCCGUAAACGAUGAAUGCUAGGUGUUGGAGGGUUUCCGCCCUUCAGUGCCGCAGCUAACGCAUUAAGCAUUCCGCCUGGGGAGUACGACCGCAAGGUUGAAACUCAAAGGAAUUGACGGGGGCCCGCACAAGCGGUGGAGCAUGUGGUUUAAUUCGAAGCAACGCGAAGAACCUUACCAGGUCUUGACAUCUUUUGAUCACCUGAGAGAUCAGGUUUCCCCUUCGGGGGCAAAAUGACAGGUGGUGCAUGGUUGUCGUCAGCUCGUGUCGUGAGAUGUUGGGUUAAGUCCCGCAACGAGCGCAACCCUUAUGACUAGUUGCCAGCAUUUAGUUGGGCACUCUAGUAAGACUGCCGGUGACAAACCGGAGGAAGGUGGGGAUGACGUCAAAUCAUCAUGCCCCUUAUGACCUGGGCUACACACGUGCUACAAUGGAUGGUACAACGAGUUGCGAGACCGCGAGGUCAAGCUAAUCUCUUAAAGCCAUUCUCAGUUCGGACUGUAGGCUGCAACUCGCCUACACGAAGUCGGAAUCGCUAGUAAUCGCGGAUCAGCACGCCGCGGUGAAUACGUUCCCGGGCCUGUACACACCGCCCGUCACACCAUGAGAGUUUGUAACACCCGAAGCCGGUGGCGUAACCCUUUUAGGGAGCGAGCCGUCUAAGGUGGGACAAAUGAUUAGGGUG
rnacentral:rRNA from 2 species